UGGCAUUAUGGGCAUCACUCGGGCAUGAAAAAAUCUCCUGCAGCUAGCUCAGUGACUGCCCAAAGUGCCACCCUGUUUUGUGCUUAAAACCCAGGGCCCUGGUGGCGUAGGCACCUGAGGGAAUCUCUUGGUCUGCGGGUUGCGAAAACUGUGGGAAAAGCUUAGUAUCUAGACCAGAAUACACCUUUCCUCACAGCACGGUCCCUCAUGGCUUCCCUUGGCUAAGGGAUUGAGUUUCCAACCUCUUAUGCUUCGCAGGUGAGGCAGUGCUCCACCCUACUUCUGCUUACCCUCUGUGGGCUGCACCCACUGUCUAACCAGUCCCAGGGAUAUGACCCGAGCACCUCAUUUGGAAAUGCAGAAAUAACCCGCCUUCUGCAUUGAUCUCACUGAGUGCUGCAGACCCAAGUUGUUCCUAUUCAGCAAUCUUGGCCUGAUGCUCCUUAUAUUCUUAAAGAUUUCAACUUCAGGUGCUGGGGCAGCUGCCGCUGAGUCUGGAUCUCGCUGCUGCGAGCCCCCAACGCCCGCCCAGUGUGCAUUCCUGGUUCCUUUUGGUUCCAAGUCCAAAAUGGCAACUCUCAAGGAUCAGCUGAUUCAUAAUUUUCUAAAGGAAGAACAGACCCCCAGAAUAAGAUUACAGUUGUUGGGGUUGGUGUUGUUGGUAUGGCCUGUGCCAUCAGUAUCCUUUUUGUUGACUUGGCAGAUAAAGUUGCUCUUGUUGAUGUCAUGGAAGACAAAUUGGAGAGAGAGAUGAUGGAUCUCCAACAUGGCAGCCUUUUCCUUAGAACAUCAAAUAUUGUUUCUAGCAAAGACUAUAAUGUAACUGCAAACUCCAAGCUGGUCGUUAUCAUGGCUGGAGCACAUUAGCAAGAGAUAGAAAGCUGUCUUAAUUUGGACCAACGUAACGUGAACAUCUAUAAAUUCAUCAUUCCUAAUGUUGUAAAAUACCGAACUGCAAGUUGCUUAUUGUUUCAAAUCUAGUAGAUAUCUUGACCUGUGUGGCUUGGAAGAUAAGUGGCUUUCCCAAAAACUGUUUUAUUGGAAGUGGUUGCAAUCUGGAUUCAGCCCGAUUCCAUUACCUGAUGGGGAAAGGCUGAGAGUUCACCCAUUAAGCUGUCAUGGGUGUGUCCUUGGGGAACAUGGAGAUUCCAGUGUGCCUGUAUGGAAUCGAGUGAAUGUUGGUUGCUGGUGUCUCCCUGAAGACUCUGCACCAAGAUUUAGGGACUGAUAAGGAACAGUAGAAAGAGGUUCACAAGCAGGUGAUUGAGAGUUCUUACGAGGCGAUCAAACUCAAAAGCUACACAUCCUGGGCCAUUGAACUGUCUGUGGCAGAUUUGGCAGAGAUUAUAACGAAGAAUCUUAGGUGGGUGCACCCAAUUUCCAUCAGGAUUAAGGGUCUCUAUGGAAUAAAGGAUGAUGUCUUCCUUAAUGUUCCUUGCAUUUUGGGACAGAAUGGAAUCUCAGACGUUUUGAAGGUGAUUCUGACUCCUGAGGAAGAGGCCAGUUUGAAGAAGAGUGCCGAUACUCUUUGGAGGAUCCAAAAAGAGCUGCAAUUUUAAAGUCUUCUGAUGUCAUACCAUUUCACUGUCUAGGCUACAACAGGAUUUUAGUUAGAGGUUGUGCAUAUUGUUCUUUUUAUCUGAUCUGUGAUUAAAGCAGUAAUAUUUUAAGUUGGAGUGGAAAAAACAUCAAUUCCAGAAGUUAGAAAUAGGAAUGUUUUAUAGAGUCCUACAGCUAUAUCCUGAUGCUAGAUGACACUAAUCUUGUGUAGUCCUAAACUGGUUAGUGUGAAAUAGUUCUGCCACUUCUGAGGCACCACUGCCAAUGCUGCACAUGCUGUAGUUGCCCCUUGAGCCAGAUGGAUGUUUAUCGUGUGUUAUGUAACUUCCUGGCUCCUUCACUGAACAUGUCUAGUCCAACAUUUUUUCCCAAUAAGUCACAUCCUGGCAUUCAGUGUAUAGAUCCAAUAUUGCAUGUCUUGUGCAUAAUUGUUCCACAGGAUCUUAUUUUGUGAACGAUACAGAUAUGAGUAGUGUACAUUAUCCUAUAAUUUAAAAAGAUCUACAUAUAAACAAUGCAACCAACCAUCCAAGUGUUACACCAACUAAAACCCCCAAUAAACCUUGAACAAUGAAAAAAAAAA